CUACAGGGACGGUCUCAAUUUAAAAGAAGGGUGUCACCAGAUGAGGGUACACCUGUCAGAGAAAAGAGGAGGAGGAUCUCAGCUGAUACAUACAUCCCAAUGGUGCAUGAAGUCAGACCCUCCCAAACUAGUGACUCCAAUGUUCCAGUGGGAAUGGCCAGUCACUUUACUGCUUCACUAGUGACAGAUGAACCAGCUGAAGGUCCUGGAUCGCCUGUGAUUCUCUGUCGAUCACACGGGCUUUUCCACUCUCCCUCAACAACCAGUCUACAGGGACGGUCUCAAUUUAAAAGAAGGGUGCAACCAGAUGAGGGUACACCUGUCAGAGAAAAGAGGAGGAGGAUCUCAGCUGAUGCAUACAUCCCAAUGGUGCAUGAAGUCAGACCGUCCCAAACUAGUGACUCCAAUGUUCCAGUGGGAAUGGCCAGUCCCUUUACUGCUUCACUAGUGACAGAUGAACCAGCUGAAGGUCCUGGAUCGCCUGUGAUUCUCUGUCGAUCACACGGGCUUUUCCACUCUCCCUCAACACCCAGUCUACAGCGACGGUCUGAAUUAAAAAGAAGGGUGUCACCAGAUGAGAGUCUGCCUGUCAGAGAAAGGAGGACGAGGAUCUCAGCUGAUGCAUACAUCCCAAUGGUGCAUGAAGUCAGACCGUCCCAAACUAGUGACUCCAAUGUUCCAGUGGGAAUGGCCAGUCACUUUACUGCUCCACUAGUGACUAAAAAAACAGCUGAAGGUCCUGGAUCGCCUGUGAUUCGCUCUCGACGACGUGGACUGUUCCGCAUUUGAUUUCGGAUUGAGCAGAUACCUCUCAGGAAGAGAGUGAAGCCCAGGAUUAUCAUGAGGCCUUUAAAGAGGACCUUCAGAAAUUCUGUCAGAAGAGCCGGACCUGGGCUGGGGAGCGCAGCAAAAGAGACACGUACAGCCGCUUACAAAAGCACUUUUACAAAAGCACUUUAAUUGCAAGUAGAUUCAGAUGGUGCCUCAGUGCUUUUAAAAAAAUUCUGUACAUAGUUUUUUCCUUGCAAACCCUAAAUUGUUUUGCAACUAUAUUGUUAUAUUGUUUUAUAUAUGCCCUAUAUACACUUUAUUAUUUUGAGAGAGCUUGCUACAUUUACACUUGCUACAUUUGCACUUAAAAAAAAAAAAAAUUAUUCCUUGCAAACCCUAUAUUGUUUUGCAACCUAUAUUGUUAUAUUGUUUUAUAUAUAGCCUAUAUACCCUUUAUUGUUUUGAGAGCACUUGCUACAUUUAUACUUACAAAAAUAUAUAUUUUAUUCCUUGCAAACCCUAUAUUGUUUUGCAACCUAUAUUGUUAUAUUGUUUUAUAUAUACCCUAUAUACCCUUUAUUGUUUUGAGACCACUUGUUACAUUUACAUUUACAGCAUUUAUCAGAUGCCCUUAACCAUAGCAACACUGCAGGAUUGCAUGUAAUAUGUAAUGUGUAAUGUAAUGUAAUGUGAAGGAGGAAUAUAAAAUUCUUCUGAGCAUCUUAUGUCAUUUCAGUUUCUCUAUUUUAAAUGUUAAUACAAAGUGUGUUUAUAGCCUAAUAGAACAGUUGUCUUUUACAUCCCCUCAGUCUUUGUGCCCUUGAGGUGUGUGUAUGUGAGAGAGAAACUCACAUUCCUGAGCUUAUUCUGAGUGGGAACGUUUACCAACCGCUCCCCCUGGGAGAAGCCCUCUGGUUAACAUCGCUUUGAGUUCCCAAUUAGUUACAGUCGCUAUUUUCAGAUCCUCACUGGUCUUAAAUUUCCCCCAAUGUCCUGAAACCUAAGUCUUAUUCCUCCU
rnacentral:lncRNA from 1 species